GGUUAAGUCUGCCCAGUGAAAACUAAUUUUUUAACGGCCGCAGUACUUUGACUGUGCUAAGGUAGCAAAAUAAAUAGGCUUUUAAUUAAGGUCGAGAAUGAAUGGCACCAUGGGCGUAAACUGUCUCCUUUUAUGAUUGUUAAUUUGUUUAAUAGGUGAAAAGACCUAUAUUACAAAUAAUAGACGAGAAGACCCUUAGAGUUUUUAACCAUAUUAGCUAUUAGAUUAGUUUAUUAAUUUUUUGUUGGGGCGACAUAGUAUCAAAUAGCAUACUUAAUAUUAUUGAUGUAACAAGUCUUUAUUACAAUUGAAUAUAACUACCUAAGGGAUAACAGCAUAAUUUUUAACAUAAAGAUUGUGACCUCGAUGUUGGACUAGGGACUAAAUGUAUUAGUCAUAUA
rnacentral:rRNA from 1 species